GUGGUGACACGGAAUCCGAAGGAAGCGAGCGGCAAACUUAGGGUCUCUCGGAACACGAACUUCAUAGAAGGCUAGGUAACAUUGGAUGAGUCUGCAAAACAAGAUAAAGUCCAUACUGCCGAAGAUGUUACAGAGUAAAUGGAGCAGAUAGAUGGAGAGAAAGAC
rnacentral:ncRNA from 1 species